rnacentral:rRNA from 1 species
UACGGGGGGGACUAACGUUAUUCAUCAUAACUGGGCGUAAAGGGUACGUAGGUGGCUUUGUAAGUCUCGAUUAAAGAAUCUAAGCAUAACUUAGAAAUUAUUCUUGAUACUGCCAAGCUUGAGGUCGAAAAGAGGUUAGUUAUAUUCUUGAAGUAAAAGUAAAAUCUUUAGAUAUUAAGAGGAUAACCAAGUGGUUAAUGCGACUUUCUGGUUCGACGCUGACACUGAGGUACGAAGGCAUGGGUAUCAAACGGG